CCCGCACGCACCACACCACACAACACGAUUGAUUCCCCAACCAACCACCUACGCUCUCCCUUCCCUACCCCGAUCUCGAUCCCAUCGCUGCCGCCGGCGAUCUCCUCGCCCCCCUGCGCCACCGCCCCCAACCUUCUGUUCCUCUCCCAUCGGAAUCCCAAGGGAAGGGAAGGGUAGGGAAGGCAAGGGAAGGGAGAGGGAGCGCCCAGAUCCACGGCGGCAUCAGCGCGCUGUCGUCGACCUGAUCCGCGUCCGUCCUCGACGGAGGUUGGCCAUGGAGGUCUGACCCGGCCCGGCAGCAGCGAUGGACGGACGGAGACGCCCCAAACCCGAGAACGGCACCUCAACCUUCAAGGACGACGCCUCAACCUUCAAGGGCGCGUGCCGGCGACCGCGGAUCUUCGGUGACGGCUAUGGAUGGCUGCCCCGGAUCUGGACGCACGACCUGCAGCUGCUGCAGCAGCUGGACGACCCAACGCACGAGCCCUCCCCCCUCCCUCAUGGCUCUGCUUCCUCCUACCCUGCCCCCCUCACGUGGACGUGCUGCCUUGGCAGGGAUCCUCCAUAUCAAGGGAAGAGCGGGGUAGUGUGGGCGAGGGAAGUCCUUGUGUACCAGGUGAAGCUCCUCCUUCCUCUCAUCCUCCCCCUUUUGAUUAUGCCUGCUGCACUUCCAUGUCUCUUCAGCCCUUUUAUUUCUUUUAAAAUUUUCCUAAAUGUCAUAAUUGUCACAAUUGUGCAGGCUUCUAAAAGAAACACAAAAGGAAACAAGAUGCAGUAAAUUUUUGAUGAAGAACAUUUUUCCAUAGCUUGUGAACAUAAUUGGUAUUCUAUCUAGCUGUGAGACCUUGCCUUUAUUUUGUAUGAAGUUAUGGUCACAGGAUCAUAGCACUCUGGGUUUUGGAUUCAGGUACAGGAUCAUGUGAUAAAAGAUAUGGUCACACCCAACAAUACACAUGACCGACCGCCGCUCCUCACGGACACUCCAGAACGUCCCAGCGUGGCGUCACUGGAGGAGACCAUGGUCAUGCACUCAACGGCUGGAACGAAGGGGCAGAGCAGGUGCUGACAUCUUCAUCUGGCCUUAGUUCCGAGGAAUUUAACUUGCCUACAAACUAUUUAAUUAAGCAUGUGGUCUACUCAGCCUCGUACUCCUUUGGCUGAGUUCUUGGUCCCCCUUUCCUUUUCUAUUCCCCUACCUAGCCUUCGAGCUAUGGCUGUGGCUUGUCGGUCAUCGAGCCGUGCUAAAUAGUACUGUUAGUUCAUUCCGGCAUCCUCAGACGAGGGAAGUCAAGGAGAUUAUAUUGCUUUCGCAUGCUCACCGGUGUUGGGCGCUGCCAGAGUUUGAAGCAUUGGGUAGCCUGAGCCCAAGAAACCUGGCACAAGAGAAGGAAGGGAAGAUGUCAUUGGAUACACUUAGCAUAAGGAGGCUUAAGAGUGAUGCUCAAGGAGACAUCGAAUGCUAUGAAGAACAGAGACCCAGAUAGGGUGCCCCUUGGCAGGCUGGACGGAAAGUCAGCAUCAAAAUUGCAGAAGAGAGAGCCCAACAGGGUGCCCGUUGGGAGGUUGGACGAGAAUUCGGCGUGGAAAAUGCAGAAGAGAGAGCCAAACAGGGUGGACGAGAAUGCGUGUUGAUUCGACAUGUGAUUAUCUAACCAGGAGAAACCGGUAGCUCAUUGAUCUCCGGUACUUGUUGGUAGACAGACUCACAGGUUGUGAAACCAUGGUUUCUUUCUUCAUCCCAUUAUCUAGCUUAACUGUAUACCUGCAGACCAUGAGAAGAUUUGGCUGCAUUUUUUAGUCGACACUCGUCGUGGUCAUCUAGAGAUGUACCUAGAUUAAUUUAGCGACCACUAGUGUUUCUUGAUCUGCUUCAGUUAAGACCAAAAGUGUUUCUUGGUUU